CUCCGGCAGCCCAUGGUACGGUCCGGACAGAGUCAAAUACUUGGGUCCAUUCUCCGGCGAGCCACCGUCCUACUUGACCGGUGAAUUCCCAGGUGACUACGGCUGGGACACUGCUGGUCUCUCUGCUGACCCAGAAACCUUUGCUAAGAACAGAGAGCUGGAAGUCAUUCACUGCAGAUGGGCCAUGCUCGGAGCUCUUGGCUGUGUCUUCCCUGAGCUCUUAUCUCGCAACGGUGUUAAGUUCGGUGAGGCUGUUUGGUUCAAGGCAGGAUCUCAGAUUUUCAGCGAAGGUGGUUUGGACUACUUGGGUAACCCAAGCUUGAUCCAUGCACAGAGCAUCUUA
rnacentral:lncRNA from 1 species